rnacentral:rRNA from 1 species
AUUGAACGCUGGCGGCAUGCUUUACACAUGCAAGUCGAACGGCAGCACGGACUUCGGUCUGGUGGCGAGUGGCGAACGGGUGAGUAAUACAUCGGAACGUACCCAGUAAUGGGGGAUAACUAUCCGAAAGGAUAGCUAAUACCGCAUACGCCCUACGGGGGAAAGAGGGGGAUCGCAAGACCUCUUGUUAUUGGAGCGGCCGAUGGCUGAUUAGCUAGUUGGUGAGGUAAAGGCUCACCAAGGCGACGAUCAGUAGCGGGUCUUAGAGGACGAUCCGCAACACUGGAACUGAGACACGGUCCAGACUCCUACGGGAGGCAGCAGUGGGGAAUCUUGGACAAUGGGCGCAAGCCUGAUCCAGCAAUGCCGCGUGCGUGAAGAAGGCCUUCGGGUUGUAAAGCGCUUUUGUCAGGGAGCAAAUCCUUGUGGCUAAUACCCACCGGGGAUGAGAGUACCUGAAGAAUAAGGACCGGCUAACUACGUGCCAGCCGCCGCCGUAAUAC